rnacentral:tRNA from 1 species
GCCGAUGUGGUGAAAUUGGUAGACACGCUACCUUGAGGGGGUAGUGGCUCAUGGCUGUGCCGGUUCGACUCCGGCCAUCGGCACCA